AUGCACCUUGUGGUCUGGAAAUAUGCUCCUGAUUGUGUGGAUAUUUGCAGCUUCAGAAUUAUUUUAUUCUUAGCCAUAUGUCAUCAAGGUGCAGCUGCUCAUAUGAUUUCCACUCGCUAUGGAAUUAGGAGAAGCUUGUUUCACGAAGUGAGUAUGCAAGAUAACUUCAGGCAAAGUGUACAGAGGCUGCAGCUGAAGCCGGACUUUGAUGCUUGCAAGUUGGUGGAUCACCAGUUAUUAUCAGGUUCAAUCCCUUUGCCAUGUAAUACUGUGGCGACAUUGUCUGUUAUGUAUAAUUGUGCACACAGGUUUCUGUUGGAACAAUCACUGAAAACGAUGAUAGACUUUGUCUCACAUGUGUCGCUCACUGAUGAGAACUAG
rnacentral:rRNA from 1 species